rnacentral:rRNA from 1 species
GACGGAGGGGGCUAGCGUUGUUCGGAUUUACUGGGCGUAAAGGGCGCGUAGGCGGCCAUGUGUGUCAGAGGUGAAAUCCCAAGGCUUAACCUUGGAAUUGCUUUUGAAACUGCAUGGCUUGAGUGAUAGAGAGGCAAGUGGAAUUCCGAGUGUAGCAGUGAAAUGCGUAGAUAUUCGGAGGAACAUCGGUGGCGAAGGCGACUUGCUGGCUAUCAACUGACGCUGAGGCGCGAAAGCGUGGGGAGCAAACAGG